rnacentral:lncRNA from 1 species
GGAAUGGUCGUGAAGGUAUGCCACUUCUUCAAGCCAAUACGUCAGGUGGCAGUGGCUGGAAUGGUCCGUGAAGGUAUGCCACUUCUUCAAGCCAAUACGUCAGGUGGCAGUGGCUGGAAUGGUCCGUGAAGGUAUGCCACUUCUUCAAGCCAAUACGUCAGGUGGCAGUGGCUGGAAUGGUCCGUGAAGGUAUGCCACUUCUUCAAGCCAAUACGUCAGGUGGCAGUGGCUGGAACGGUCCGUGAAGGUAUGCCACUUCUUCAAGCCAAUACGUCAGGUGGCAGUGGCUGCAGCUGCUGAUUGUGGCUGAGGAUUACUUCACCAUGCCCCUUCCUCCCUCCAGGUUAGACUACACCGAAUUAGGAUCAUUGUUUAACUAACACUGUUCGUAUGUGCAGUGCAGACCGAAUCAUCUGACAGCUGUGAUUGGUUGACUUUGUAUAAGAUUUUUGUGUUUUAUAAAUGUACAUCCAUCCAGUAAUUA